AUGGCGAGAGGCAAGGUCCAGCUCCGGCGCAUCGAGAACCCUGUCCACCGGCAGGUCACCUUCUGCAAGCGCCGCGCGGGGCUCCUCAAGAAGGCCAGGGAGCUCUCAGUCCUCUGCGAUGCCGACAUCGGUAUCAUCAUCUUCUCUGCGCACGGCAAGCUCUACGACCUCGCCACCACCGGAACCAUGGAUGGGCUGAUCGAGAGGUACAAGAGUGCCAGUGGAGAAGGCAUGGCCGCCGACGGCUGCGGCGACCAGAGAGUGGACCCAAAGCAGGAGGCAAUGGUGCUGAAACAAGAAAUAGACCUUUUGCAGAAGGGACUGAGGUACAUCUAUGGAAACAGGGCAAAUGAGCACAUGAAUGUUGACGAGCUGAAUGCCCUGGAGAGGUACUUGGAGAUGUGGAUGUUCAACAUCCGCUCCGCAAAGAUGCAGAUAAUGAUUCAAGAGAUCCAGGCACUGAAGAGCAAGAUUCUUUAUAUGCAGGAGGGCAUGUUGAAAGCUGCCAACGAAAUUCUCCAGGAAAAGAUAGUAGAACAGCAUGGACUGAUCGACGUAGGCAUGACUAUAGCAGAUCAGCAGAAUGGGCAUUUUAGUACAGUCCCAAUGUUAGAGGAGAUCACUAACCCACUGACUAUACUGAGUGGCUAUUCUACUUGUAGGGGCUCAGAGAUGGGCUAUUCCUUCUGA
rnacentral:rRNA from 1 species